rnacentral:tRNA from 1 species
GGCCCCAUCGUCUAGUGGCCUAGGACACCGCCCUCUCACGGCGUAAACGGGGGUUCGACUCCCCCUGGGGCUACCA